rnacentral:misc_RNA from 1 species
GGGAGAUGGUACGCGCCGAGUUUCCGGUGGCCGGAAUUCAGCCUGUGGCUGCGGCCGGCGUCGUUCAGUUGGCCGGAUUUCAGUUUUUCGAAUUUCGGCAUCGAGUGGAACUCUCCGAACAUCAGGUGGUUUAAUUUUUCAAUUCUCGAUGAUCUGUUAUGGACCUUCAUCGCUCUUCUCGAAUCCCUAGUUCUUCUCACAAUGUUGUGCUGCUUCUUCUUGUGCUGUGGAUUUACUCUCUGAUUUUCUCAAUUAACGAUUCAGUAUGUUGU